CUUAUGGUUUCUGAAGUUCAAAUAUAAAAAACCAAAUAUUAUUACUCCAGAAUUAUGAUUCUAGGUUCCAAUUAUAGUUUUGGGAGGAGGGGGAUUUAUUUACAUACAAUUCCCCCAUUGAUAAUUAUAUUAGGAUGAAGCCUAUUUAAGUUAAUACAAAUACAAUUAGAAGUAUGCUGGUCAUAUAAAAGAAUGAAACUGACACAAUAAGUUAAGAUAGAUUUCUAUUAACUCGCCCAAAGCUGUUGAAAUCCUGGAAAAAGGCUGUCAAAAGAAAAAAAUCUGAAAGAAACUGUUUAGUAUUGAUUCUUUGCAGUAAACAUUUAUCUGUUGACACGACGAUGAAGUUUAAGUUAGAUAAGACUUGGAGCACUUGUCAAGCUCCUUAAAGAUGACGCUGUACUCACCGAUUAUGUACAGCAGUUCAGAAAAAAAAAAACACCGCCGUGGACAACUUUUCUAUGGAUAGCCUGAUAUUGUUGAGACUCCAAUUGAACCCAUGGAGAUUAAGACGCCAAGACAAAGCACAAGGAAAAUCAAACGGAAAUCAGCCAAAUCCACCACAGCAAACACACUCAAAUUGAUAGUUCAGUUUCUCCAAUGAAAAAAACUCCAAAUGUAAUGACCUAAGACUUGGAUAAAAGAAGAAUCACUUUGUUUUUGUGAAAUGUUUAAA